rnacentral:rRNA from 1 species
AGUGAACGCUGGCGGUAGGCCUAACACAUGCAAGUCGAACGGCAGCACAGUAAGAGCUUGCUCUUACGGGUGGCGAGUGGCGGACGGGUGAGGAAUACAUCGGAAUCUACUUUUUCGUGGGGGAUAACGUAGGGAAACUUACGCUAAUACCGCAUACGACCUACGGGUGAAAGCAGGGGAUCUUCGGACCUUGCGCGAUUGAAUGAGCCGAUGUCGGAUUAGCUAGUUGGCGGGGUAAAGGCCCACCAAGGCGACGAUCCGUAGCUGGUCUGAGAGGAUGAUCGGCCACACUGGAAGUGAGACACGGUCCAGACUCCUGCGGGAGGCAGCAGUGGGGAAUAUUGGACAAUGGGCGCAAGCCUGAUCCAGCCAUACCGCGUGGGUGAAGAAGGCCUUCGGGUUGUAAAGCCCUUUUGUUGGGAAGGAAAAGCAGCAGGUUAAUACCCCGCUGUUCUGACGGUACCCAAAGAAUAAGCACCGGCUAACUUCGUG